GAAUUGUUCGCAAUGGGCGCAAGCCUGACGACGCAACGCCGCGUGGAGGAUGAAGAUCUUCGGGUCGUAAACUCCUUUCGAUCGAGACGAAUUCCUCUGGGGUGAAUAAUCCCGGCGGUUGACGGUACCGAGAGAAGAAGCCCCGGCCAACUCCGUGCCAGCCGCCGCGGUAAUACGGGUGGGGCAAGCGUUGUUCGGAAUGACUGGGCGUAAAGGGCUCGUAGGUGGCCAACUAAGUCGGACGUGAAAUCCCUCGGCUUAACCGGGGAACUGCGUCCGAUACUGGUUGGCUUGAGUGUGGGAGAGGGAUGCGGAAUUCCAGGUGUAGCGGUGAAAUGCGUAGAUAUCUGGAGGAACACCGGUGGCGAAGGCGGCAUCCUGGACCAAUACUGACGCUGAGGAGCGAAAGCCAGGGGAGCAAACGGG
rnacentral:rRNA from 1 species